rnacentral:rRNA from 1 species
AGUCGAGAAUCUUCGGCAAUGGGCGAAAGCCUGACCGAGCAAUGCCGCGUGCGGGAUGAAGGCCCUCGGGUUGUAAACCGCGAAAGUAAGGAGGAAGGACCUGCGAAGAGCAGGUUUUGACCGAUCUACAGUAAGGACGGGCUAAGUUCGUGCCAGCAGCCGCGGUAACACGAACCGUCCAAACGUUAUUCGGAAUUAUUGGGCUUAAAGGGUGCGUAGGCGGCGCUUUAAGUCGGGUGUGAAAUCCUUCGGCUCAACCGAAGAAUUGCGCCCGAUACUGGGGUGCUAGAGGGAGACAGGGGUGAGCGGAACUGAUGGUGGAGCGGUGAAAUGCGUUGAUAUCAUCAGGAACACCGGUGGCGAAAGCGGCUCACUGGGUCUCUUCUGACGCUGAGGCACGAAAGCCAGGGUAGCGAA